rnacentral:rRNA from 1 species
CCUACGGGAGGCUGCAGUGAGGAAUAUUGGUCAAUGGUCGGGAGACUGAACCAGUCAAGCCGCGUGAGGGAGGAAGGUACAGAGUAUCGUAAACCUCUUUUGUCAGGGAACAAAGACUGGGACGCGUCCCCGGAUGAGUGGACCGGAAGAAAAAGCAUCGGCUAACUCCGUGCCAGCAGCCGCGGUAAUACGGAGGAUGCGAGCGUUAUCCGGAUUUAUUGGGUUUAAGGGGUGCGCGGGCGGUCUGUAACGUCAGCGGUCGAAGCCCGGGGCUCAACCCCGGCCCGCCGUUGAAACUGGCAGUCUCGAGUUGGAGAGAAGUAUGCGGAAUGCGCGGUGUAGCGGUGAAAUGCAUAGAUAUCGCGCAGAACUCCGAUUGCGAAGGCAGCAUGCCGGCUCCACACUGACGCUGAGGCACGAAAGCGUGGGUAUCGAACAGGAUUAGAUACCCCUGUAGUC